AAGCAACUCGGAGAAAUUUCUCUCUCUCUCUGUUUUACGCGUUGACAAAAAUUAGAAAAUCGGUCAGCGGUUGUUCUCUAUGCGAGUCAAAGAUGGCUGUUGUGGAAAAAAACAGAACUUCGAAAAGAACGGAGUUUUGGGGGGCAUGUUAUUCCCUCAUGAAUACAAAGAUUCUCACCGCAUUUCCGACAAGAAUACGGAAACGGAAGAAGCUAGGCAUGCAUUGAUUAACCGUGCUUGUUUGAACAACACACUUGGGAGCUAGUGUGAUGGCUGAUGGGCUCAAAGGAUGGAUGGGAAGAAGAUGCCAUGAGAAGGCUCAUUCUUUUAAUGUCCUAUCAUCUAAUCUUUUGACUAAAACUGAUUUGGCAAAGAGGACCCUUCCCUCUACAGUUUAAAAGCAAGGCUAAAUGUGAUUGGUGAAAUUCCUGGAGGUGCCCCUAGGCACUUUUGAGAGCCUGUAUAAACACAGUCCAGAUCCCAGUCAU